rnacentral:rRNA from 1 species
AUGAUAAUGACAGUAGCAGGUAAAGAAACCCCGGCUAACUCCGUGCCAGCAGCCGCGGUAAUACGGAGGGGGUUAGCGUUGUUCGGAAUUACUGGGCGUAAAGCGCACGUAGGCGGAUUGGAAAGUUGGGGGUGAAAUCCCGGGGCUCAACCCCGGAACUGCCUCCAAAACUAUCAGUCUAGAGUUCGAGAGAGGUGAGUGGAAUUCCAAGUGUAGAGGUGAAAUUCGUAGAUAUUUGGAGGAACACCAGUGGCGAAGGCGGCUCACUGGCUCGAUACUGACGCUGAGGUGCGAAAGUGUGGGGAGCAAACAGGAUUAGAUACCCUGGUAGUCCACACCGUAAACGAUGAAUGCCAGUCGUCGGGCAGUAUACUGUUCGGUGACACACCUAACGGAUUAAGCAUUCCGCCUGGGGAGUACGGUCGCAAAUUAAAACUCAAAGAAUU